rnacentral:rRNA from 1 species
AACGAACGCUGGCGGCGUGCCUAACACAUGCAAGUCGAACGGGAUUCGGAGCUUGCUCCGAUGAGAGUGGCGCACGGGUGAGUAACGCGUAGAUAAUCUGCCUGAUGAUCUGGGAUAACAGUUCGAAAGGACUGCUAAUACCGGAUAAGCCCACGGAGACCUUGGUCUUUGCGGGAAAAGGGGGGGGCCUUCGGGCCUUCCGUCAUCAGAUGAGUCUGCGUACCAUUAGCUAGUUGGUAGGGUAAAGGCCUACCAAGGCGACGAUGGUUAGCUGGUCUGAGAAGAUGAUCAGCCACACUGGAACUGAGACACGGUCCAGACUCCUACGGGAGGCAGCAGUGGGGAAUUUUGCGCAAUGGGGGAAACCCUGACGCAGCAACGCCGCGUGAGUGAUGAAGGCUCUUGGGUCGUAAAGCUCUGACAGAGGGAAAGAAGUGUAUGGUGGUUAAUACCCAUUGUACUUGACGGUACCCUCAAAGGAAGCACCGGCUAACUCCGUGCCAGCCGCCGCGGUAAUAC